rnacentral:rRNA from 1 species
AACGAACGCUGGCGGCAGGCUUAACACAUGCAAGUCGAGCGCCCCGCAAGGGGAGCGGCAGACGGGUGAGUAACGCGUGGGAAUCUACCCAUCUCUACGGAAUAACGCAUGGAAACGUGUGCUAAUACCGUAUACGUCCUUCGGGAGAAAGAUUUAUCGGAGAUGGAUGAGCCCGCGUUGGAUUAGCUAGUUGGUGGGGUAAAGGCCUACCAAGGCGACGAUCCAUAGCUGGUCUGAGAGGAUGACCAGCCACACUGGGACUGAGACACGGCCCAGACUCCGACGGGAGGCAGCAGUGGGGAAUAUUGGACAAUGGGCGCAAGCCUGAUCCAGCCAUGCCGCGUGAGUGAUGAAGGCCCUAGGGUUGUAAAGCUCUUUCACCGGUGAAGAUAAUGACGGUAACCGGAGAAGAAGCCACGGCUAACUUCGUGCCAGCCGCCGCAGUAACAC